CACCCCAACACGGAGGAGGAGGUCACUACAACCAGCCUCCAAGCUACAACUCCCCCCCGCCACAGAGCUACAGUCAGCAGAGCCAGUAUGGCCAAAGUGGAGGAUAUGGAGACGAAAGCCCACCAUUGAGCGGAGGAGGAGGUGGAGGGUAUGACAGUCCUGAUGGAGGUUACUUAGGUCAGGAUGGCCGUGGUGGCAGGGGCCGUGGGGGUGGAUUUGGAGGUCGCGGUGGUGGCGGAUAUGAUCGCGGUUUUGACCGAAGCAGCCGAGGGGACCAAGAGGAAGAGGAGGCAUGGGAAUGGCCGAUCGUGGAGGAUUCAGUAAGUUUGGUGGUAAGUGACUAAAAUAGACUUGAGCACAAGAAGGUUUGUUGGGUUUUAAAGAGU